AACGAACGCUGGCGGCGCGCCUAAUACAUGCAAGUCGAGCGAGAAGGUGUAGCAAUACACUUGUAAAGCGGCGAACGGGUGAGGAAUGCAUGGGUAACCUACCCUCGAGUGGGGAAUAACUAGCCGAAAGGUUAGCUAAUACCGCAUACGUUUCCGGAACUUCGGUUUCGGAAAGAAAGCAAUACCGUGGGUAUUGCGCUCCUGGAUGGGCUCAUGUCCUAUCAGCUUGUUGGUGAGGUAACGGCUCACCAAGGCUUCGACGGGUAGCUGGUCUGAGAGGACGAUCAGCCACACUGGCACUGCGACACGGGCCAGACUCCUACGGGAGGCAGCAGUAAGGAAUAUUGCGCAAUGGACGAAAGUCUGACGCAGCGACGCCGCGUGGGGGAUGAAGGUCUUCGGAUUGUAAACCCCUUUCGGGAGGGAAGGAUGGAGUGGGUAACCACUUGGACGGUACCUCCAGAAGCAGCCACGGCUAACUUCGUGCCAGCAGCCGCGGUAAU
rnacentral:rRNA from 1 species